rnacentral:lncRNA from 1 species
CUUGUGCCAAUUCAUUUGAACUGAAUUCAAUCCAACAAGUAUUUAUGCAUGUGUGCUGUGCUUAGGAGCUUCAGCUUGUUGGCAGAAAAAUGGGGCCACUGUUUGGGGUUAUAAUGCCUUUCUGAAAUCUCUGCCUCUGUAUGUCUUCAUCACCCUCUCUUGAUUGAAAAGCCUGAACUCUCUCAAGGGCCAUGUUUUAUUGGUCUCACACUCCUAGGUAUAAAGAGGUAAAAAAAUACUGUCAUCUUAGCAAUCAGUUCAGAGUUCCAAUUAGGAAAAGACAUGUCUUUGUGUGAAAAAUAAUAUGUUGAUAAGAACUCAAGGUAGAUUCCAAAUACCUGAGAAUUCAAGGUUUUAAACAUCAGAAGAAGGGAAAUCAUUUUGCGUAGUUGGAGAGAAAGAAUUUGGGGUUUUGGUGGGGAUUUCAGUGGAAAAGGGAGUUGCUAAGAAGGGAGGGGAAAGGGAUAUGGAAUAUGGUGGAGGGAUGUCUCCCAACUCAA